rnacentral:rRNA from 1 species
GGGGGGGGGGGGGGGGGGGGGGGGGGGGGGGGGGGGGGGGGGGGGAGGGGGGGGUGCGCCUGGAGUGAGGGGCGGAGGGGUGGGUGAUGCCUGGGAGUCUGCCGGGUAGUGGGGGAUAACGUCCGGAAACGGGCGCUAGUACCGCCUGCGUCCUGAGGGGGGAAGUGGGGGAUCUUCGGACCUCACGCUAUCAGAUGAGCCUAGGUCGGAUUAGCUAGUUGGUGGGGUAAAGGCCUACAAAGGCGACGAUCCGUAACUGGUCUGAGAGGAUGAUCAGUCACACUGGAACUGAGACACGGUCCAGACUCCUACGGGAGGCAGCAGUGGGGAAUAUUGGACAAUGGGCGAAAGCCUGAUCCAGCCAUGCCGCGUGUGUGAAGAAGGUCUUCGGAUUGUAAAGCACUUUAAGUUGGGAGGAAGGGCAGUAAGUUAAUACCUUGCUGUUUUGACGUUACCAACAGAAUAAGCACCGGCUAACUUCGUG